UUAAGUUCAGGGGGUAUCCCUACCUGAUCUGAGGUCAAACAAUGAUAUAUUUGGGUUAUGGCAAACAGUCACAAGGCUACAGUUCGACGAGAUUUGUGCUUACUACGUCGCAUAGCUUGGACCGCUGCUCAAUGAUUUACAGAAGGGAGACGUUGCCAUCUCUUCUUCCAAGACCAAACUGGUGUUUGAUGUUAUAUUGA
rnacentral:misc_RNA from 1 species